rnacentral:rRNA from 1 species
GUCUCACUGUCUCCUCUCUCUAAUCAAUGAAACUGAUCUCUCCGUGAAGAAGCGGAGAUUUAACUAUAAGACGAGAAGACCCCAUGGAGCUUUAAACCUGACUACACCCCUAUCUAUUAUACCCUUAAAUCAACAGGGCCUUUGUCUGUCGGUUUUAGGUUGGGGUGACCGCGGAGCAUAAAUUAACCUCCAAGAUGAACUGGACUAACCCAUUAUCUAAGAUUUACACCUCAAAGAAUCAGCACACUGACAUAAAAUGAUCCGACAUUCGAUCAACGAACCAAGUUACCCUGGGGAUAACAGCGCAAUCUACUUCAAGAGCCCCUAUCGACAAGCAGG